GUCAGAAUACAACCCAGCCAAUCACGUUCAUCCCUUUCAAAGCGUUAGGUGAGUCAGAAUACAACCCAGCCAAUCACGUUCAUCCCUUUCAAAGCGUUAGGUGAGUCAGAAUACAACCCAGCCAAUCACGUUCAUCCCUUUCAAAGCGUUAGGUGAGUCAGAAUACAACCCAGCCAAUCACGUUCAUCCCCUUUCAAAGCCUUAGGUGAGUCAGAAUACAACCCAGCCAAUCACGUUCAUCCCCUUUCAAAGCCUUAGGUGAGUCAGAAUACAACCCAGCCAAUCACGUUCAUCCCCUUUCAAAGCCUUAGGUGAGUCAGAAUACAACCCAGCCAAUCACGUUCAUCCCCUUUCAAAGCCUUAGGUGAGUCAGAAUACAACCCAGCCAAUCACGUUCAUCCCUUUCAAAGCCUUAGGUGAGUCAGAAUACAACCCAGCCAAUCACGUUCAUCCCUUUCAAAGCGUUAGGUGAGUCAGAAUACAACCCAGCGAAUCACGUUCAUCCCCUUUCAAAGCGUUAGGUGAGUCAGAAUACAACCCAGCCAAUCACGUUCAUCCCUUUCAAAGCCUUAGGUGAGUCAGAAUACAACCCAGCGAAUCACGUUCAUCCUCUUUCAAAGCGUUAGGUGAGUCAGAAUACAACCCAGCGAAUCACGUUCAUCCCCUUUCAAAGCGUUAGGUGAGUCAGAAUACAACCCAGCGAAUCACGUUCAU